rnacentral:misc_RNA from 1 species
CUAUCUCUAGCGCAUCCUUGUUUGUGGCUGCGUGAGCGUGUGCGCGCAGAGAAACGCAGAUAAGGCUCAGGUGGACUGCUAUUGCCUCCCCUCUGCAUCCAACUCCUGUUUAGGCGGGGGCAUCGGCCACCACAUCCCCAUUCCUCUCUUCAUGCCGUGUCGGGCCACUCGCACAUCAUUGCCAUCGCGUAUCGUUGUGGCCUCUUGUUUUCUAGCCACAAAUCUCUCUCCGCCUCCACUGGCCAGUUCGGCAGUGAUCGAGAAGAGGAGGAGGUGGGCGACUUUGCGCUGCUGCGCGCUCUGAGGAACGCCGCCACUGCCUGCCACCCGCGCGUCCUUCCCACAUCUUCGAGGGAACAGUUUAGGCAGACUGCGACGUGACGCCGGCAGCCCGUAAUGCGCUACUCGCACUCCCGCACCCUCCUUGACGUGGAGCGGCAGCAGCGGGACGGCCGCCACGGGUGGCAGGCGCGCAUGUGGCACCUAACGUGGCUCACCGUGGUGUUUCUCAGCUUCUACAUUGUCUGCACGUACAACGUGUGGCGGUACCCGCGGCCGGUGCGUCAUGUGUGGAUCGACAGUGUGCUCGUGGAGGUGGUGGAGGACGACUGGGUGGAGAGGGCACGACCCUGGCUGCUCUACGGCAGCGUCGGCUGCGGUGCCCUCCGCGCCCUCCUACACUGCGUCUUAUGCCCCGCUGCGAGCGCAGCGCCGGCCGGCAACACUGGGGCCACGGCAACUGCCCGCGAGAGAACGCGAGGUGGCCGAACGAGGGCCGGCACCGCUACCGCCCACAACGCAAGUCAGCCAUCACUCAUGAAGGAGAUCAGCACGAUUGCGGUGCCGGCAUGGGCUCGGCGCCGAUCCGAUGGAAACCUGCCACGCGGCACUCGCGGCGCUGUGCCGGCGGAUGCGACAGCUGCCGCCGCCGCCUUGGCCCGGCAGAAGAGCAUAUUUGACCCAACGCGGCCCAUGCGCACCGAGAAGGACCUCGAGUGGUUCCUGGCGUGCGAGAACGCACAGCAGCAGCAGCGGCGCUCCGCGGAAGCUGCGCUCUCCGGUGCAGUUGCGCUUCGCUACCGCGAUAGAGGUGGCGCUGCUGCGGCGGGUGGCGGUGGCGUGGAUAGCGGUCCAGUGGACGCUGCCGAGCGCGAUGUCAUCUCGGUACUGUAUGAAAACAAGCCUUUGCAUCAGCGCGGCCGCAGCGGCACUGCAGCACCCGCCGCCUUCGGCGCGCACACCUCCUCGCCCUCGUCGUCGUCGUUGUCCAUUCCCUGGGCCGAGCUCGGGAUCUUCCACCUCGAGGAGACCCUCCAGCGCACACGGGAGUGGAUGAGUGAUGUGUGUCGCCGCCUGGUGGCCGACGUGGAGCAGUGCGACCGCUGGUUCAACGAGCAUCAGAUCGAGGCGUACGACUGCCACCACUCCCUGCAGGAGCUUGCACCGGUGCCGCCAUCGCAUCCGCAGCCGGCAGCGAUGACCUCGGCGUCCACAAUGCGCUGGGGUCCCCCGGCACCGGUACCCUCCGUAGCCGCCGCUCCUCAGCACGAAACCAAGUUGGUCUCCCUCUUAAGGGAGAAGGGGCACUGCCGUCAGACGCAGCAGGGGAUGCAGGAUCUGGAUAUGGCGCUGCGGUACGAUCAGCGCCUCACGCUAGAAGCGCGUCUCGACGUCAGCGGAACCUUCCCCUCCUCGUCUGCGUCGCGACCCUCGAAUGCCGAGCUGACGGCCUGCCGCGAGUACGUGCUGCAGCGUUUGCGGACGUUCGCCAAGCAACGCUACCUUAUCUCAUACAACAGUAGCGGUGGUGAUGUGGAGACGUGGCGCAGCGGCUUCCCCUGCGACGCCCAUCUCCUCCUGCACGUACUGCGUACGUCGGUGAAGGGGCUGAAGGAAUACGUGCUGUUCGGCUACCAGACAGGGCUGCAGACGCAGGACCUCGCGCUCUACGUUGGCGACACCGGCGAACCGUACUUCUACGUACGCUUCCGCCAGGGCAGCAACGAGACGCUCUUGUCCACCCGACAAGGCCCAACGUCGCUCAUGGAAGCCAUACUAGCAUUUGCCGCGGUGGUGCACGUCUAUUAUCACGACGUGUACGGCGGGGUGCGCAGCACGGUGGACCUGAACGAGGUGGGGCUGCUGAAGGUGGUGACGGAGGGUCGUCGUGCCGCCUGGGCCAGCACCGGAGGAGAGUCGUGACGACGCGCGUGACGAGCGUGGCCGUGCAUGUGGACUCUUGUGGUGCGUCCUCUCUGCCCUUGUCGCGCACGCCUUCACACCGCCCGUUCAACUACACUCGCAGCCUCCCCCCCAACCCUUCCGUUAGUGUCGAUACGCCGACGCCCUCCUCCUUCCAGAGCGCACACACGCACCGGUGGACUCUUCCGGUGCACAGAUGUCAGAGGCAUCCGGACGACGGCGACGAGCGUGAGCCGCACACACAUGAGCACCCUCCAACCACAGCAGCUCUGCACGGCUUAGAAUCUACAUAUAAAAACUGAAGCGGAAAGCAGCGGGCUGGGGGGGGGAACUGCAACGGCGGCGGCGAUGCGCCAAUCGGAAGGCGAGCGCGAGGAAGUCAGGGGAGAAGACCACGAAAAAGGGAGACAUAACGCUCCCCGAACCGCCCGCUGCCCACCGUCGCCUCUUGCCUUUCCGCUCCUCAGCCCUUGAAUUCGUCUUUCUCCCUCGGUACCUCUGCGUGUGCAUCAUGCCAUGUACUCGCAGAAGAUAAGCAGUCUGACAAAGACGAACUGGAAGACCCGCGCUCAGCUAAGAAAGGAGGAGGGGGUGGUGGUGGUAUCGUUAGUGUGACUUGCCACCACCACCAUCACCGCCCACCCAGCCACCACCACCACCACCUCCUCCAUCCCUUUCCCAGAUUCUCCGCGCGUGUAUACGGUUCAACACACGUCGAACAACCCCUCCCCCUUCCCCCACCAGGCGACUCUUGCUCUCCCUCUCUCUUCCUCUCUGGCGGCUUUUCUGCGCCUGCGUCUGACUACUCCGUCUCUUCACCCGCCACCGCCACCGCACAUCCUGCGUUGCUCGGCUCUCUCCUCCGUCCUUUUUUCCUCGCUUACCGACGAC